AUGAACGCUGGCGGCGUGCCUAAUACAUGCAAGUCGAGCGAACGGACGAGAAGCUUGCUUCUCUGAUGUUAGCGGCGGACGGGUGAGUAACACGUGGAUAACCUACCUAUAAGACUGGGAUAACUUCGGGAAACCGGAGCUAAUACCGGAUAAUAUUUUGAACCGCAUGGUUCAAAAGUGAAAGACGGUCUUGCUGUCACUUAUAGAUGGAUCCGCGCUGCAUUAGCUAGUUGGUAAGGUAACGGCUUACCAAGGCAACGAUGCAUAGCCGACCUGAGAGGGUGAUCGGCCACACUGGAACUGAGACACGGUCCAGACUCCUACGGGAGGCAGCAGUAGGGAAUCUUCCGCAAUGGGCGAAAGCCUGACGGAGCAACGCCGCGUGAGUGAUGAAGGUCUUCGGAUCGUAAAACUCUGUUAUUAGGGAAGAACAUAUGUGUAAGUAACUGUGCACAUCUUGACGGUAUCUAAUCAGAAAGCCACGGCUAACUACGU
rnacentral:rRNA from 1 species